GAUGAACGCUAGCGGGAGGCUUAAUACAUGCAAGUCGAGGGGUAACAGGGGCUUCGGCCCGCUGACGACCGGCGCACGGGUGAGUAACGCGUACGCAACUUACCUCCAAGCGAGGGAUAGCCCUGGGAAACUGGGAUUAAUACCUCAUGUGAUUAUGAUGCCGCAUGGUGUUAUAAUUAAAGUUCAGGCGCUUGGAGAUGGGCGUGCGUCCUAUUAGCUAGUUGGUGAGGUAACGGCUCACCAAGGCGACGAUAGGUAGGGGGCGUGAGAGCGUGGCCCCCCACACGGGUACUGAGACACGGACCCGACUCCUACGGGAGGCAGCAGUAAGGAAUAUUGGACAAUGGGCGCAAGCCUGAUCCAGCCAUCCCGCGUGCAGGAUGACAGCCCUACGGGUUGUAAACUGCUUUUGUUAGGGAAGAACCCCUCGAUUUAUCGGGGGCUGACGGUACCUUUCGAAUAAGCACCGGCUAACUCCGUGCCAGCAGCCGCGGUAAUGUCUAGCAU
rnacentral:rRNA from 1 species